rnacentral:rRNA from 1 species
GCGAGAUGCUUUACACAUGCAAGUCGUACGAUAUUUUUUAACUCGGGUGGCGGACGGGUGAGUAACACAUAAUAUUUUGCCUUUAGGAGGGGGACAACAAUUGGAAACGAUUGCUACCACCCCAUAUGCUUUCGAGUGAAAUGUAUUUUUCCGCCAAAAAAGAAGCUUGCGGCUGAUUAGCUUGUUGGUAAGGUAAUGGCUUACCAAGGCGACGAUCAGUAUCUGGUUUGAGAGGACGAUCAGACACACUGGAACUGAGACACGGUCCACACUCCUACGGGAGGCAGCAGUGGGGAAUUUUCCGCAGUGGGCGAAAGCCUGACGGAGCAAUCUCGCGUGAGGGAUGACGGCCUAUGGGUUGUAAACCUCUUUUUUCAGGGAAGAACAAAAUGACGUGUACCUGAAAAAUAAGCAUCGGCUAACUCCGUGCCAGCAGCCGCGGUAAGACGGAGGAUGCAAGUGUUAUCCGGAAUCGCUGGGCGUAAAGCGUCUGUAGGUGGUUUAAUAAGUCAACUGUUAAAUCUUGAGGCUCAACCUCAAAAUCGCAGUCGAAACUAUUAGGCUAGAGUACAGUAGGGGUAAAGGGAAUUUCCAGUGGAGCGGUGAAAUGCGUAGAGAUUGGAAAGAACACCGAUGGCGAAUGCUCUUUACUGGGCUAUUACUAACACUCAGAGACGAGAGCUAGGGUAGCA